rnacentral:rRNA from 1 species
GACGAACGCUGGCGGCGUGCCUAAUACAUGCAAGUAGAACGCUGAAGGAGGAGCUUGCUUCUCCGGAUGAGUUGCGAACGGGUGGGUAACGCGUAGGUAACCUGCCUGGUAGCGGGGGAUAACUAUUGGAAACGAUAGCUAAUACCGCAUAACAGUAGAUGUUGCAUGACAUUUGCUUAAAAGGUGCAAUUGCAUCACUACCAGAUGGACCUGCGUUGUAUUAGCUAGUUGGUGAGGUAACGGCUCACCAAGGCGACGAUACAUAGCCGACCUGAGAGGGUGAUCGGCCACACUGGGACUGAGACACGGCCCAGACUCCUACGGGAGGCAGCAGUAGGGAAUCUUCGGCAAUAGACGGAAGUCUGACCGAGCAACGCCGCGUGAGUGAAGAAGGGUUUCGGAUCGUAAAGCUCUGUUGUAAGAGAAGAAUGAGUGUGAGAGUGGAAAGUUCACACUGUGACGGUAUCUUACCAGAAAGGGACGGCUAACUACGUG